ACGCUCGACACCUACAGGAGGCAGCAGUGGGGAAUAUUGCACAAUGGGGGAAACCCUGAUGCAGCAACGCCGCGUGAAGGAAGACGGUUUUCGGAUUGUAAACUUCUGUUCUUAGUGAAGAUAGUGACGGUAGCUAAGGAGCAAGCCACGGCUAACUACGUGCUAGCAGCCGCGGUAAUCUGAGCGGGCUGGCAAGGC
rnacentral:rRNA from 1 species